UACGUAGGGCGCAAGCGUUUGUCCGGAAUUAUUGGGCGUAAAGAGCUCGUAGGCGGCCUGUUGCGUCCGCUGUGAAAGCCCGGGGCUUAACCCCGGGUCGGCAGUGGAUACGGGCAGGCUAGAGGUAGGUAGGGGAGAAUGGAAUUCCCGGUGUAGCGGUGAAAUGCGCAGAUAUCGGGAGGAACACCGGUGGCGAAGGCGGUUCUCUGGGCCUUACCUGACGCUGAGGAGCGAAAGCGUGGGGAGCGAACAGG
rnacentral:rRNA from 1 species